rnacentral:rRNA from 1 species
CCUUAGCUAAUACCGCAUAACACUUACGAGUCAAAGCAGCAAUGCGCUUGGAGAGGAGUUCGCGGCAGAUUAGCUAGUUGGCGGGGUAAUGGCCCACCAAGGCGAUGAUCUGUAUCCGGCCUGAGAGGGCGCACGGACACACUGGAACUGAAACACGGUCCAGACUCCUACGGGAGGCAGCAGUGGGGAAUUUUGCGCAAUGGGGGAAACCCUGACGCAGCAACGCCGCGUGGAGGAUGAAGUCUCUUGGGACGUAAACUCCUUUCGAUAGGGAAGAUAAUGACGGUACCUAUAGAAGAAGCCCCGGCUAACUUCGUGCCAGCAGCCGCGGUAAUACGAGGGGGGCAAGCGUUGUUCGGAAUUAUUGGGCGUAAAGGGCGCGUAGGCGGUUUGGCAAGUUUGGUGUGAAAUCUUCGGGCUCAACUCGAAGUCUGCACCGAAAACUGCCGGGCUUGAGUAUGGGAGAGGUGAGUGGAAUUUCCGGUGUAGCGGUGAAAUGCGUAGAUAUCGGAAGGAACACCUGUGGCGAAAGCGGCUCACU